GAUGAACGCUGGCGGCGUGCUUAAUACAUGCAAGUCGAGCGAAGCACUUUAACGGAAUUCUCCGGAAGGAAGGUAAAGUGACUGAGCGGGCGACGGGUGAAGGUAACACGUGGGCAACCUGCCCUGCAGACUGGGAUAACUUCGGGAAACCGGAGCUAAUACCGGAUAACACCGAAAACCGCAUGGUUUUCGGUUGAAAGGCGGCUUUUAGCUGUCACUGCAGGAUGGGCCCGCGGCGCAUUAGCUAAUUGGUGAGGUAACGGCUCACCAAGGCGACGAUGCGUAGCCGACCUGAGAGGGUGACCGGCCACACUGGGGACUGAGACACGGCCCAG
rnacentral:rRNA from 1 species